rnacentral:rRNA from 1 species
UUACGGAAGGCAGCAGUUGGGAAUAUUGCGCAAUGGACGACAGUCUGACGCAGCGACGCCGCGUGAAGGAAGAAGGCUUUCGGGUUGUAAACUUCUUUUAUAUGGGACGAUUGUGACGGUACCAUAUGAAUAAGGGCCUGCUAACUACGUGCCAGCAGCAGCGGUAAUACGUAGGGCCCGAGCGUUGUCCGGAUUUAUUGGGCGUAAAGAGUAUGUAGGUGGUAAGACAAGUCGGAUUUGAAAGCUCCAGGCUCAACUUGGAAUUUGGAUCCGAAACUGUUUUGCUUUGAGGAUAGCAGGGGCAAGUGGAAUUGGCGGUGUAGCAGUGAAAUGCGUUGAUCUCGCCAAGAACACCAAUGGCGAAGGCAGCUUGCUAGGCUAUCUCUGACACUGAGAUACGAAAGCGUGGGGAGCGAACGGGAUUAGAUACCCUGGUAGC